rnacentral:lncRNA from 1 species
GUGAAUACAGGUGUGGGAGGCCAGCAGGACCUGACACGGCUUCCUGUCAUCCCACCCUCUCCCCCCUGCACUUUACUUUCCUACAAAAAUACACUUGGACUAUUUACUGCAAAACUCAGCAAGGGAGGCUCUAAUCUGAGAGAUUUACUGGUGCCAGUGUGAGAUUUUCCACUGGGUUUCCACAGGGUUCAGAUCCAGUCCUGAGGUUGUUAUUCACCUAUCCAUCUUGUUUGCUGUAAACUUAAGCAUGUACUUACAGGAUGAAAAUAGGUGUUUCAAUUCUGUGCCUAAACAAAGAAGCAUUUAAAUGAGUACUUAAAUGAUUUGUGGAACUAAGGCUUGGAAACCCCCAAUUUCUCCUCUCCUCAGCAUAAAGAAAGAAUUGACAAAUCACAUGAGAAGCUAGUCAUGAGGACUACCUGGAAGGAAAUUCAGGGAGGACAAAAGAAAAAAAAAAAAAAAAAAAAAAAAAAAUUAAAAAAAAUAAUAAAAAAAGAGAAACAAAUCCAAAAAUCCAAACCUCUUUUCCAGUACUUCAUUCCUACAGAAAAUAUCUACAGCUUCCAGAAGAAUUUAAUCUAUUUUCCAGCAUCCACCAGAAUAACAGUCCUUCUCAAAACACCAGCACAGAUGCAACAUCAGAUGCGAUGUUCUGACAGCGCAGGAAACAACCUUUGCAGUCCAGCAGGAAAAAGGAGUAACAUCUGCAAUGAAAAUGGCAUCCACGAUGAAAUCACAGCCCUGUAUACCAACCUUUGUAUAGAAAAAGGUAAAUUCCGGUGUUUAACUGCAAAACCAACAACUUCAUGGUUGACAUGGAAUCUCUUCUCAGCAACUUUGUGCAUUCCCUUACAAAUAAAUCAGCACAGAACAUUAUUCAACACAUUUAACUAGCAGAGAGAAAACCCCUCCAAAGAAAUUGUAGGUGCUCUCCAACAGAAAACAAUGCCUACUGGGGUGCCAUCUCCAGUAACACGAGCAAAAAAAUACACCUAAAACGUGGACCUGAGGUAAAUGUAG